UACGGAGGGGGCUAGCGUUGUUCGGAAUUACUGGGCGUAAAGCGUGCGUAGGUGGUUUGUUAAGUCUGUUGUGAAAGCCCCGGGCUCAACCUGGGAAUGGCAAUGGAUACUGGCAAGCUAGAGUGCGGUAGAGGGUAGUGGAAUUCCCGGUGUAGCGGUGAAAUUCGUAGAUACCAGAAGGAACACCGGUGGCGAAGGCGGCUAUCUGGCUCAUUCUUGACGCUCUGGCGCGAAAGCGUGGGGAUCAAACAGG
rnacentral:rRNA from 1 species